rnacentral:rRNA from 1 species
UACGUAGGGGGCGAGCGUUGUCCGGAUUUACUGGGCGUAAAACGCUUGUAGGCGGCCACGCCAAGUCGGACGUGAAAUCUCCCGGCUUAACUGGGAGGGAUCGUUCGAUACUGGCGGGCUCGAGGCAGGUAGGGGGAAGCGGAAUUCCCGGUGUAGUGGUGGAAUGCGUAGAUAUCGGGAGGAACACCAGUGGCGAAGGCGGCUUCCUGGACCUGUUCUGACGCUGAGGAGCGAAAGCGUGGGGAGCGAUCCGG